AACGCACAUUGCGCCCGCCAGUAUUCUGGCGGGCAUGCCUGUUCGAGCGUCAUUUCAACCCUCAAGCCCCCGGGCUUGGUGUUGGAGGUCGGCACAAGCGUCCCUCGGGUCGCCGCCGUCUCCCAAAUAUAGUGGCGGUCUCGCUGUAGCCUCCUCUGCGUAGUAACUCACCUCGCACUGGAACGCGGCGCGGCCAAGCCGUUAAACCCCCCACUUCUGAAGGUUGACCUCGGAUCAGGUAGGACUACCCGCUGAACUUAA
rnacentral:misc_RNA from 1 species